rnacentral:rRNA from 1 species
GAUAAACGCUAGCGGCGUGCAUUAUGCAUGCAAGUCGAACGAUAUGUCGAAAGAUAUAUAGUGGCAAACGGCUGAAUAACACGUAAGCAACCUGUCUUUAAGUGGGGAAUAAUCCGCCGAAAGGUGGACUAAUACCGCAUGUGGUAAUAGAGGUAGAGCUUUAUUACUAAAGCUUUCGGGCGCUUGAUGAGGGGCUUGCGGCCUAUCAGGUAGUUGGUGGGGUAACGGCUCACCAAGCCAAUGACGGGUAGCUGGUCUGAGAGGACGUCCAGCCAGACGGGGACUGAGACACGGCCCCGACUCCUACGGGAGGCUG